CGGUUGAUCCUGCCGGACCCGACUGCUAUUUGGGUGAGGAUAAGCCAUGCGAGUCGUAUGGGAUACCUAAAUUUCCCAUGGCAGACUGCUCAGUAACACAUGAUCAACUUACCCUAUAGAGAAAAAUACCCUCGGGAAACUGAGGGUAAUGUUUCAUAGUUGAAAAGGCUUGGAAAAGUUUUUCAACGAAAUGGGUAAGAAAAAUGGUUCUUAUCCGCUAUAGGAUAGGAUCGUGUUCGAUUAUGGUUGUUGGUGAGGUAACGGCUCACCAAGCCGAUAAUCGAUAGGGGCCGUGAGAGCGGGAGCCCCGAGAUGGGUACUGAGACAACGACCCAGGCCUUACGAGGCGCAGCAGGCGCGAAACCUCCGCAAUACACGAAAGUGUGACGGGGUUACCCAAAGUGUUCAAUAUUGAACUGUGGUAGGUGAGUAAUGUCCCCUACUAGAAAGGAGAGGGCAAGGCUGGUGCCAGCCGCCGCGGUAAAACCAGCUCUUCAAGUGGUCGGGAUAAUUAUUGGGCUUAAAGUGUCCGUAGCCGGUUUAGUAAGUUCCUGGUAAAAUCGGGUAGCUUAACUAUCCGUAUGCUAGGAAUACUGCUAUACUAGAGGGCGGGAGAGGUCUGAGGUACUACAGGGGUAGGGGUGAAAUCUUAUAAUCCUUGUAGGACCACCAGUGGCGAAGGCGUCAGACUGGAACGCGCCUGACGGUGAGGGACGAAAGCCAGGGGAGCGAACCGGAUUAGAUACCCGGGUAGUCCUGGCCGUAAACGAUGCAUACUAGGUGAUGGUACGGCCAUGAGCCGUAUCAGUGCCGUAGGGAAACCGUUAAGUGUGCCGCCUGGGAAGUACGGUCGCAAGGCUAAAACUUAAAGGAAUUGGCGGGGGAGCAC
rnacentral:rRNA from 1 species